rnacentral:lncRNA from 1 species
GGAAGCUGUGUCUCCGCAGCACUCAAGAUCACCUUUGUCUUCUGAGUCUAAGUCAAAGAAAGGUUACAGAAGGAGCCUGCAGGCUCUCCUCCCUCCGCAGGGGUCUGGUCCAGAGAAGUAGCCAAGUUCUUUCCCAAGAUGCUGGGAAUUGAGAUGAAAAUAGAAAUGUGCUUGCCUGGUCGCUGCGACAGUGGUCAGUUGUGUAGAAGGCACGUCCUUUGGCCAGGGCUCCCAGUGAGUGAAAGCCAGAUCAAAGGAUGGGAACCCGUGGUCCGGAAGGGGCCCAAGCACACGAGAUACACACGCAGCAAUAAGAAUUCACCCUCGUUGGGAAGUGGCGGAAAUCCGGAGAUGGGCUCGGUUAUCCCCAGCAGACUCUAAACUAGCCAGCCAUUCACUUGUGUCUACUGUCUCUUUCUACCAAAGCCGCAAUUUUAGGCUGACCUAAUGGCUGCACCCCUUUGGCCAGUAGGGAGAGGCCAAUGGGACAAAGGUAAAGGCACCAUCCUUACAUUUGGUCUUUGCAUAGUCUCCUGGACUAGGGCAAACACUUCUGCCUGAAUGCACCAAGUCACCCCAGUAGCUUGCAGCAGAAUGAGAAGUUGGGAUAAGUAAUAUGAACCCCUCCUCCCCCCAACACACACCCACACACUAAAAUGCACAUCCAUUUUCUAACCCUACGAUGGGGCAUCUCCACAUCCACUCAUUCAUCAACAGCCAACAAUGACUGCCCGACUUGAAGGAGCCUAUCCUAGCAUAACUGUCUCUCUCCUGAGAGAGGUGUCAUCCAGCUGCGGAUUGAGACAGAGACCCACAGCCAAACAUCAGGCAGAGCUUGGAAAGUCCUGUGGAAAAGUGGUGGGUAGAACUGAACAAGCUGGAGGAGUCCAGAUCACCACAGAAGACCUACGGAGUCAACUAACCAGGGACCAUGAAGGCUCACAGAGAGUGGACAACCAACCAAGGAGCAUGCAGGAGCUGGACCUAGAUCCCUUAUCCAUUUGUAGCAAAUGUGCAGCUUCCUCUUCAUGUAAGAAAUGGGGGGUGGGGUGGGGGGUGGUCUCCAUCUCUGUUGCCUGCCAUUGGAUCCCCUCCCCCAUGCCUGGACUGCCUGGUUGGGCCUCAGUGGAAGAAGAUACACCUAGUCCUGCUGGAACUAGAUGCCCCAGAGUGGGGAGGUACACAUGGAAGGUUCUCUGAGAAGGGGAGGGAGCAAAUGGGGAAAGGGACUUGUAAGGGUGAGACUGGGUGGAGAAUAGGGAGGGGCUGUGAUUGGGAUGUAAGGGAAAUACACAAAUUACUGGAGAAAAAUAAACAGUCCUGUUAUUUAA